UAUACUAUAUGUCGGACAAGAGGCAAGAACUGUUAUAGUUCAUAGUUAUAGUACUAAUCACUGUUGCUAAUCACUAUUAAUGAUGCAGAAAUUAUCAUGGUACUGCAAAACGUAUAUACCGGACAAUUAUCUAUGAACCGAGGAUAAGCGUUAUGGAGAAUCAAACGACUGAUUAUUAUGGCGAUGUUACGUUAUAUCAAUGGAACCACACGGCGAAGGAAGGAGAUGCGGAAACGGAAUAUUAUUUACCUAAUUGGACUGAUCUCGUUCUAGCAGGAUUAUUCACAAUCCUGAUUAUUGUUACUAUAGUCGGCAAUACAUUAGUGAUUGCGGCUGUAAUUACCACCAGGCGAUUACGGUCCGUGACUAAUUGUUUUGUGUCUAGCCUAGCGGCGGCGGAUUUGCUAGUCGGUUUAGCGGUAAUGCCACCGGCGGUACUGUUACAGCUUACAGGAGGUACUUGGGAGCUGGGUGAAAUACUGUGCGAUUCUUGGGUGUCCCUUGACAUUCUACUCUGCACGGCCAGUAUUCUGUCGUUAUGCGCAAUAUCUAUAGACAGAUAUCUGGCCGUAACUCAGCCGCUGAUAUACAGCCGUCGACGCAGGAGCAAAAGACUAGCCGGGCUUAUGAUCGUAGCGGUGUGGGUGAUGGCCGGUGCCAUAACGAGCCCGCCUUUAUUAGGUUGUUUCCCACGUGCAACAAAUCGCGAUAUCAAAAAGUGCUCCUACAAUAUGGAUUCGUCGUACGUGAUAUUCUCAUCCAUGGGCAGUUUUUUCCUGCCCAUGCUGGUAAUGCUGUACGUCUACGGCAGAAUUUCGUGCGUCAUAGCAAGCAGACACAGAAAUCUGGAGACCAACGAGGAAAACGUGCGACCACGUCGUAAAAUUACGAGUGAUCGUGGCAAAAGUAUCAAAGCGCAACGCGCGAAUUGUGCGGAGGGCAGUGUGGCGUGCGACAAGCUAUCCGAGGAAACCGAACCGACAAACAUGUGCAAAAAGUUGGGCACAAUUCGAGGUAAUCAGCAAAGCUGCAUCAACAGGGUCGCUAGGGAAACGAAAACUGCGGGUACCCUGGCAGUGGUUGUCGGUGGUUUCGUUGCAUGCUGGCUGCCAUUUUUCAUUCUGUAUCUGGCAACACCCUUCGUGCCCGUGGAGCCACCGCAUGUCCUCAUGCCAGCUUUGACCUGGCUAGGAUGGAUUAAUUCGGCCAUCAACCCGUUUAUUUACGCCUUCUAUUCGGCAGACUUUAGACUAGCUUUCUGGCGACUAACAUGUCGGAAAUGUUCAAAGAGCAGACUAAACUUGGAUGGCACGAAUCGGAAAUUACCCGCCCCGGUUAACUGGAAGAAAGAUACGUCGAGGACAUGAAGAUUCCGGCACACGAGUUUCGAACUUGUUCAAUUACGUGGCAACGAGGAUUAGAAGUGAAUGAGUGUGUGAUUGACUUGUAUUUACUCGUAACCGCAGUACAUUAAUGAAGUGGCGUCACUGGACUAGAAAUUUAUCCCUUGGUGUUGUUCAGAUUGACUUCAGUUUCUUAGUCAGGUUCUUAUUAGAUUAUAUUGCUGAAUUCAUAUUAGGUUCUGGCUCAGAAUUAUAUAAAAUGUUCAAAAAAGGAUUUAUAUUUAUUUUUUGUAAGAACAUGCUUUAAAUUUUUUUAAAAAUCUAAUCAGGAUCAAGAGAUAAAUUUUUAGUCGAAAUAGUUUAUGUAUGUAAGAAUAUAUAAGAAUUAUAUGCGCGAGAACCACGUUUUAAUUGUAAGAAUAGGCUUAUCUAAUCAAUAGUUCGUAUGCAAUUUUAUAAAAUAUCAAUUACGCACAAUACAUUAGCAUACAUGUAGCUAUUCUCGAGAAUCCUAUAAAUAGUCUUAUAAAUAGUAUUUUCCAUGUGUGUAAUAUGCAAUAUAUAAUUGAG
rnacentral:misc_RNA from 1 species